AUGGUGGGAAUGAGGAAAAAUCCUAGAGUUGGAGGCGGUGUCGGGGGAACUUGCGAAGUUGCCAAGAACCAAACUCAACACUCACCGAGGUAGGCGGAAGAAGUGACGAUGAUUUGGUUAGGAGCUUAGAGGCUUUUGUUUCAUUUUUUGAAUUCUUCUUGCCUAUUCUUUUGUAAUCUAAUUGGUUGCAUUUUGAAACUGAAUAUUUGUAACUAUGAGUACGAUUUUUGUACAUGAUGGUAACUCUGGAUAUUUGUAGCUAUGGGUGUUUUGGAAACCCAUAGCUAGUUGUAUGCAGUAGUUACUG